GGGUGCGAUCAUACCAGCACUAAUGCACUGGAUCCCAUCAAAACUCCGCAGUUAAGCGUGCUUAGGCGAGAGUAGUACUAGGAUGGGUGACCUAUUGGGAAGUUCUCGUGUUGCACCUC
rfam:Arabis alpina cultivar Pajares scaff_56758_1_contig_0, whole genome shotgun sequence.